rnacentral:rRNA from 1 species
CGGACCUCAGAUCAGGCAAGACCACCCGCUGAGUUUAAGCAUAUCACUAAGCGGAGGAAAAGAAACUAACGAGGAUUUCC